rnacentral:rRNA from 1 species
GAUAGGUUAAGUUAAUAAGGGCGCAUGGUGGAUGCCUUGGCACUAGAAGGCGAUGAAGGACGUGACUAACUACGAUAUGCCUCGGUUAGCUGUAAGUAAGCUUACCCGGGGGUUUCCGAAUGGGGCAACCCGAUCUUAAUGAUCAUCAUCUUUUUGAAUUCAUAGAUUAGAUGAAGCAAACGCUGUGAACUGAAACAUCUCAGUAGCAGUAGGAAAGUAAAGAAAUUUCGAUUCCGUCAGUAGCGGCGAGCGAACGCGGAAGAGCCCAAACCUGGAUGCUUGCAUCCAGGGGUUGUAGGACUGAUGUUGAGUUACAAAGGUAUAAGAUAGCAGAAACAGUUGGGAAGCUGUUCCAAAGAGGGUGACAGGCCCGUAUGCGAAAUCUUGUACUCUCUAAUCAGGAUCCUGAGUACGGCCCAGCACGUGAAAUUGGGUCGGAAUCUGGGAGGACCAUCUCCCAAGGCUAAAUACUAACUAGUGACCGAUAGCGAACAAGUACCGUGAGGGAAAGGUGAAAAGAACCCCGGAAGGGGAGUGAAAUAGUUCUUGAAACCGUGUGCUUACAAGAAGUUCGAGGCCGUUAAUGGCUGAGAGCGUGCUUUUUGUAGAAUGAACCGGAGAGUUACGAUUGCGUGCAAGGUUAAGGUGCAAAGACUGGAGCCGUAGCGAAAGCGAGUCUUAAUAGGGCGAAUCAGUACGUAGUUGUAGACCCGAAACCGAGUGACCUAUCCAUGGUCAGGUUGAAGGUGGGGUAAUACCUACUGGAGGACCGAACAAGUGGGUGUUAAAAAACCCUUUGAUGAACUGUGGAUAGCGGUGAAAUUCCAAUCGAACUCGGAGAUAGCUGGUUCUAUCCGAAAUACAUUUAGGUGUAGCC